GGGAUAACUUCGGGAAACCGGAGCUAAUACCGGAUAAUAUUUUGAACCGCAUGGUUCAAAAGUGAAAGACGGUCUUGCUGUCACUUAUAGAUGGAUCCGCGCUGCAUUAGCUAGUUGGUAAGGUAACGGCUUACCAAGGCAACGAUGCAUAGCCGACCUGAGAGGGUGAUCGGCCACACUGGAACUGAGACACGGUCCAG
rnacentral:rRNA from 1 species